rnacentral:rRNA from 1 species
AUUGAACGCUGGCGGAAUGCUUUACACAUGCAAGUCGAACGGCAGCACGGGGCAACCUGGUGGCGAGUGGCGAACGGGUGAGUAAUACAUCGGAACGUGCCCAAUCGUGGGGGGAUAACGUAGCGAAAGUUACGCUAAUACCGCAUACGAUCUACGGAUGAAAGCGGGGGAUCGCAAGACCUCGCGCGAUUGGAGCGGCCGAUGUCAGAUUAGGUAGUUGGUGGGGUAAAGGCUCACCAAGCCGACGAUCUGUAGCUGGUCUGAGAGGACGACCAGCCACACUGGGACUGAGACACGGCCCAGACUCCUACGGGAGGCAGCAGUGGGGAAUUUUGGACAAUGGGCGCAAGCCUGAUCCAGCCAUUCCGCGUGCAGGGAUGGAAGGCCUUCGGGUUGGUUAAAC